rnacentral:piRNA from 1 species
UCAGAAUUCACACACGGUUCAGGCA